GGUGAGGUCGCAUAGCGGUCUAGUGCGAAGGUCUUGAAAACCUUUGUAGGGUUUUUCCCUACCGUGGGUCCGAAUCCCACCCUCACCG
rfam:Microgenomates bacterium GW2011_GWC1_39_7b TT58_C0003, whole genome shotgun sequence.